GGCCAGACUCCUACGGGAGGCAGCAGUGAGGAAUAUUGGUCAAUGGGCGUAAGCCUGAACCAGCCAAGUCGCGUGAGGGACGACGGCCCUACGGGUUGUAAACCUCUUUUGCCGGGGGACAAACGGCGGCACGCGUGCCGUCCUGAGGGUACCCGGAGAAAAAGCAUCGGCUAACUCCGUGCCAGCAGCCGCGGUAAUACGGAGGAUGCGAGCGUUAUCCGGAUUUAUUGGGUUUAAAGGGUGCGUAGGCGGGAUGCCAGGUAAGCGGUCAAAUGGGGGGGCUCAACCUGCGUCCGCCGUUGAAACUGGCAGUCUCGAGUUGGAGAGAAGUAUGCGGAAUGCGCGGUGUAGCGGUGAAAUGCAUAGAUAUCGCGCAGAACUCCGAUUGCGAAGGCAGCAUGCCGGCUCCACACUGACGCUGAGGCACGAAAGCGUGGGUAUCGAACAGGAUUAGAUACCCCAGUA
rnacentral:rRNA from 1 species